rnacentral:rRNA from 1 species
CCUACGGGUGGCAGCAGUGGGGAAUAUUGCACAAUGGGGGGAACCCUGAUGCAGCGACGCCGCGUGGGUGAAGGAGCAUUUCGGUAUGUAAAGCCCUAUCAGCAGGGAAGAACAAUGACGGUACCUGACCAAGAAGCACCGGCUAAAUACGUGCCAGCAGCCGCGGUAAUACGUAGGGUGCAAGCGUUAGCCGGAUUUACUGGGUGUAACGGGAGCGCAGGCGGCGCGUUAAGCCUGGUGUGAAAGCCCGAGGCCCAACCGCGGGACUGCAUUUGGAAUUGGCGCGCUGGAGUGCCGGAGGGGGAGGCGGAAUUCCUAGUGUAGCGGUGAAAUGCGUAGAUAUUAGGAGGAACACCGGUGGCGAAGGCGGCCUACUGGACGGUGACUGAUGCUGAGGCUCGAAAGCGUGGGGAGCAAACAGGAUUAGAUACCCUUGUAGUC